GGGAACGUGCCUUUAGGUUCGGAAUAGCUCCUGGAAACGGGUGGUAAUGCCGAAUGUGCCCUUCGGGGGAAAGAUUUAUCGCCUUUAGAGCGGCCCGCGUCUGAUUAGCUAGUUGGUUGAGGUAACGGCUCACCAAGGCGACGAUCAGUAGCUGGUCUGAGAGGAUGACCAGCCACAUUGGGACUGAGACACGGCCCAAACUCCUACGGGAGGCAGCAGUGGGGAAUCUUGCGCAAUGGGCGAAAGCCUGACGCAGCCAUGCCGCGUGAAUGAUGAAGGUCUUAGGAUUGUAAAAUUCUUUCACCGGGGACGAUAAUGACGGUACCCGGAGAAGAAGCCCCGGCUAACUUCGUGCCAGCAGCCGCGGUAAUACGAAGGGGGCUAGCGUUGCUCGGAAUUACUGGGCGUAAAGGGCGCGUAGGCGGACAUUUAAGUCAGGGGUGAAAUCCCAGAGCUCAACUCUGGAACUGCCUUUGAUACUGGGUGUCUUGAGUGUGAGAGAGGUAUGUGGAACUCCGAGU
rnacentral:rRNA from 1 species